AAAGAAAGUAAUAAAUAAUAUUAUAUAACGCUCACCAAUACACUAAACAUAUAUAGAAUAUUAAAUACGUAUUUAGAAUAUUCGGAUUGGUACGAAUGAACUGUCAUGCGCAUGUACGCAUCUCGCUAUUUUGCACGCCAGUGCACGACUGCACGCGUCUGCACGCGCAACGCCGCAACAUGAUGAUGUGCGCGAGUUAUAUUAAAAGCAAGAGAGGAAGAAACACUAUUUGAGCGUAAAGUAGAAGAGUAGACGAGUAAGGAAAGAAAGAUGUAAAAGAGAGAUCAACCUCACAGCUUGGAAUUUACAGUGUGCCGAACAGAAUAUGUGGACCUUGAAGGUAUCAAAUAACAUAAUUUUACUAAAAAAGUUAUAGGAUGAAGUGAACAAUUUAUUUUUUGUGUGAGAAAGUAUCUAUUACAAUCUAACUUGUUCCGAGAAAACCUUUACAAAAGAUUUAAUAAAGAACAAGCAAUUUGAUGAGAUUAUCAUAUCAUUAUUAUCAUAUUUAUUAUUCGAAUUUUAAAGAGAAACAGUAAGAAAUUUUAUUAAUACAUUAUUAAAAAAUUGUUGGCUGUUACACCAAAAUUCUCUUUCUUGUAAGCUGAUGUAUGCUAUUGAUAAAAAAUUCACCAAAGUUCAUCCCUGUUUUAGCUCAGCGAACCAUUAUAUGUAUAGAGAAUUGACAGAGCAAUUCAUAUCAAAAGGAUUAUCUAAAGGUGUACUUCCUAGUUCUUCAAGUAUGUUAUUUUAUGGCAUUAUCUUAUGGCAGGCUAGGUAAGAGAAUAAUGACAAAUGUUAUAAUUUUAUUUUAAUAUUGUAUCGCAACUGUGUGGCUCUUAAAGGUAUCGUACAACUAUCUUUUUUAGAUAGUUGUUACUGAAAUAAAUAAAAAGCGUGAAAUCUGAUCUGAAACAAUUACAACAAAGUAUACAGACUAAUAUCACUCAACUAACCUGCCGAUGAUGUGGUCGCAGGCUGUAAUAUAGGAAAUAUGUUUAUGAAUGUCAAGGAUCAUCUAAUAAUUUAAGAAUGACCAGUGGAUGUGCGUAUGAUUAUCUGGAAAUGUGCACAAAAGUGGAACUUGAGAAGGAACAUUUUAUUCCCAUCUCUAAUUUGCUGGGUUUUAUUCUAAAAACAUAUAAUGGCUAUAAUUUAU